AUACUUACCUGACAGGGGAAACACUGUGAUCAUGAAGGUGGUUUUCCUAGGGCGAGGCUUGCCCAUCACAAACUAGAUGUUCUGCCCCCUGCGAUUUUCCCCAAUGCAGGAAACUUGACUGCAUAAUUUGUGGUAGCAAGGUAGCAAGGGAGAGUGUUUACACUCUCUCCCA